CCCUUAGAUGUUCUGGGCCGCACGCGCGCUACACUGAUGCGUUCAACGAGUAUAAAACCUUGAUCGAUAGGUCUGGGUAAUCUUGUGAAUGCGCAUCGUGCUAGGGAUAGACUGUUGCAAUUUUCAGUCUUGAACGAGGAAUUCCUAGUAAACGCAAGUCAUCAGCUUGCAUUGAUUACGUCCCUGCCCUUUGUACACACCGCCCGUCGCACCUACCGAUUGAAUGACUCGGUGAAAAAUUGGGACCGUGAGUCCGCUUGCUUAAUUGCGAGUGGAUUGAUGGGAACUUUUUUAAACCUCGCCAUUUAGAGGAAGGUGAAGUCGUAACAAGGUUUCCGUAGGUGAACCUGCGGAAGGAUCAUUA
rnacentral:rRNA from 1 species